GGAGGCAGCAGUGAGGAAUAUUGGUCAAUGGGCGAGAGCCUGAACCAGCCAAGUCGCGUGAGGGAAGACGGCCCUACGGGUUGUAAACCUCUUUUGUCAGGGAGCAAGAACAGGCACGCGUGCCUGACUGAGAGUACCUGAAGAAAAAGCAUCGGCUAACUCCGUGCCAGCAGCCGCGGUAAUACGGAGGAUGCGAGCGUUAUCCGGAUUUAUUGGGUUUAAAGGGUGCGUAGGCGGACUGCCAAGUCAGCGGUAAAAUUGCGGGGCUCAACCCCGUCGAGCCGUUGAAACUGGUGGUCUUGAGUGGGCGAGAAGUACGCGGAAUGUGUGGUGUAGCGGUGAAAUGCAUAGAUAUCACGCAGAACUCCGAUUGCGAAGGCAGCGUACCGGCGCCCAACUGACGCUGAAGCACGAAAGCGUGGGUAUCGAACAGGAUUAGAUACCCUGGUAGUCCACGCAGUAAACGAUGAAUGCUAGCUGUCCGGGACGAAUGAGUCCUGGGUGGCACAGCGAAAGCGUUAAGCAUUCCACCUGGGGAGUACGCCGGCAACGGUGAAACUCAAAGGAAUUGACGGGGGCCCGCACAAGCGGAGGAACAUGUGGUUUAAUUCGAUGAUACGCGAGGAACCUUACCCGGGCUCAAACGCACUACGAAUGAUGCUGAAAGGUGUCAGCCAGCAAUGGCGUAGUGCGAGGUGCUGCAUGGUUGUCGUCAGCUCGUGCCGUGAGGUGUCGGCUUAAGUGCCAUAACGAGCGCAACCCCUACCGACAGUUGCUAACUGGUCAAGCAGAGGACUCUGUCGGGACUGCCGGCGCAAGCUGUGAGGAAGGCGGGGAUGACGUCAAAUCAGCACGGCCCUUACGUCCGGGGCGACACACGUGUUACAAUGGCAGGUACAGCGGGAAGCCACCUGGCGACAGGGAGCGGAACCCGAAAACCUGUCUCAGUUCGGAUUGGAGUCUGCAACCCGACUCCAUGAAGCUGGAUUCGCUAGUAAUCGCGCAUCAGCCAUGGCGCGGUGAAUACGUUCCCGGGCCUUGUACACACCGCCCGUCAAGCCAUGGGAGCCGGGGGUACCUGAAGUGCGUUACCGCAAGGAGCGCCCUAAGGUAAAACUGGUGACUGGGGCUAAGUCGUAACAAGGUAGCCGU
rnacentral:rRNA from 1 species